rnacentral:rRNA from 2 species
AGACCCGAAACCCGGUGAUCUAGCCAUGGGCAGGUUGAAGGUUGGGUAACACUAACUGGAGGACCGAACCGACUAAUGUUGAAAAAUUAGCGGAUGACCUGUGGCUGGGGGUGAAAGGCCAAUCAAACCGGGAGAUAGCUGGUUCUCCCCGAAAGCUAUUUAGGUAGCGCCUCGUGAAUUCAUCUCCGGGGGUAGAGCACUGUUUCGGCUAGGGGGCCAUCCCGGCUUACCAACCCGAUGCAAACUGCGAAUACCGGAGAAUGUUAUCACGGGAGACACACGGCGGGUGCUAACGUCCGUCGUGAAGAGGGAAACAACCCAGACCGCCAGCUAAGGUCCCAAAGUCAUGGUUAAGUGGGAAACGAUGUGGGAAGGCCCAGACAGCCAGGAUGUUGGCUUAGAAGCAGCCAUCAUUUAAAGAAAGCGUAAUAGCUCACUGGUCGAGUCGGCCUGCGCGGAAGAUGUAACGGGGCUAAACCAUGCACCGAAGCUGCGGCAGCGACACUGUGUGUUGUUGGGUAGGGGA